rnacentral:rRNA from 1 species
GAUGAACGCUGGCGGCGUGCCUAAUACAUGCAAGUCGAACGAAACUUCUUUAUCGCCGAGUGCUUGCACUCACCGAUAAAGAGUUGAGUGGCGAACGGGUGAGUAACACGUGGGCAACCUGCCCAAAAGAGGGGGAUAACACUUGGAAACAGGUGCUAAUACCGCAUAACCAUAGUUACCGCAUGGUAACUAUGUAAAAGGUGGCUAUACUACCGCUUUUGGAUGGGCCCGCGGCGCAUUAGCUAGUUGGUAGGGUAAAGGCUUACCAAGGCAAUGAUGCGUAGCCGAAUUGAGAGGUUGAUCGGCCACAUUGGGACUGAGACACGGCCCAAACUCCUACGGGAGGCAGCAGUAGGGAAUCUUCCACAAUGGGCGAAAGCCUGAUGGAGCAACGCCGCGUGGGUGAAGAAGGUCUUCGGAUCGUAAAACCCUGUUGUUAGAGAAGAAAGUGCGUGAGAGUAACUGUUCACGUUUCGACGGUAACUAACCAGAAAGCCACGGCUAACUACGUG